UACGGAGGGUGCAAACGUUGCUCGGAAUCAUUGGGCGUAAAGCGCACGUAGGCGGCCUGUUAAGUCGGGUGUGAAAGCCCUGGGCUCAACCCAGGAAGUGCACUCGAAACUGACGGGCUUGAAUAUGGAAGAGGAUCGCGGAAUUCCCGGUGUAGAGGUGAAAUUCGUAGAUAUUCGCAAGAACACCAGUGGCGAAGGCGGCUCACUGGCCCGAUACUGACGCUGAGGCACGAAAGCGUGGGGAGCAAACAGG
rnacentral:rRNA from 1 species